AUGGUGAAUCUCACUCUCCGUGUGCUUUCGCGGCCCGAUAGGGAACGACUUCCAACUUUUGUGCAUAAUCUUGGAUUGGAGUAUGAUGAGAAGGUGCUUCCGUCGAUUAGGAAUGAGGUGUUGAAAGCAAUUGUUACACAGUUUAAUGCGGAUCAGCUGCUUACAGAUCAGCCGCAGGUUUCAGCGCUGGUUAGGGAUAGUCUUGUGAGAAGGGCGAAGGAUUUUAAUUUUCUUCUUGAUGAUGUUGCUAUUACUCACUUGUCUUAUGGUGCUGGGACUGAUGUGAGAGAGUGA